rnacentral:ncRNA from 1 species
UUAAAAACGAUGAUAAGAAGAGUAAGUAUGGAAACGGAGUCAAAGCGAGUUGGUGACAGUGAGAGACCAAUACGAAGCCCAUAUUGAAAAACAUCUUUGAGUUGCUAACCGAAAUCAGUUGAAAGUAGGCUUAGACGGGUCCAAUCCGUUAUUAGUUGGGCAGCAUCGAAUAAUAUUUUAUUCCGUGCUGAUUGAGUGAACGAUAAUAUCGUUAAUCAGGGUGGUACCGCGAAAUAUAGUCUUUCGUCCCUUCA